rnacentral:misc_RNA from 1 species
GAGCUUUCUCAUGAAAGAAUUUUAAUUGAACAAUUGUCUGUAUUUUACCUUGUACCAU